rnacentral:rRNA from 1 species
GACGAACGCUGGCGGCGUGCUUAACACAUGCAAGUCGAACGGAAAGGCCAUGCGUUUGUGGGGUGCACGAGUGGCGAACGGGUGAGUAACACGUGAGUAACCUGCACUUGAAUUAGGGAUAACUUCAGGAAAAUGGGGAUAAUACCGGGUAGGAGCUCCUGCUGCGUGGGGGGGGUUGGAAAGUUUCGGCGGUUGUGGAUGGACUCGCGGCUUAUCAGCUUGAUGGUGGGGUAGUGGCUGACAAAGGCUUUGACGGGUAGCCGGCCUUGGAGCGUGACCGGCCACAUGACGACUGCGGUACGCCCCAGACGCCUACGGUCGGCAGCAGGGGGGAACAUGGCGCAAUGGGCGGACGCCUGAUGCAGCAACGCCGCGAGCGUGAUGACCGCCUUCGGGUGGUAAACCGCUGUCUCCUGUACCGAAGCGGGCGUGACGGUAAUUGGUAAGGAAGCACCGGCUAACUACGUG